rnacentral:lncRNA from 1 species
GGCUUGGUACUAUUGAUAGUAUAGUAGCACAAUUCUAUAUAUAUAUAUAUAUAUAUAUAUGGGUCCGGCUACUAUACUAUUAUGAGUACGAUCGCCCUCGCACUCAUAAGUUGUUUUCGAUGAUAGAGCUUCCGAAUCGACGAUCCACACCGUUAAACGUUAUUUACAGCAUUUAAAACUUCUAGAAAUAAAAUUUUAUAAUUUUUCGACAUUAUUUACCUUACGAUCAAGAGGUCACAAAUUUGACAAUUUUUAACGGCCGGUAUGGAAUACUUGCUAGUUUAAUGGUGUAAAAGAAUCAGAAUUUGUUGAAUUUUUGAUAGAAAAUUCUAUUCACUACAUAGAUAAAGAUCAAUAACUUCGAUCUUGAAUUGAAAGAUCCGAUCAUCCUUUUUUUAGGACGUCGUUCAAUUUUGACCGUUCAUUUUUUGCCUACUUGAUGGACUUUAUUAUGAUUUCGAAAAUUUACGAAAUUUAUUUUCUAAAAGUUUCAAAUACUCUAUAUCAUAUUUAACGGAGUGGAUCGUCGAUUCGGAUGCUCCAUCAUUGAAAGCAACUUAUUAGUACGAGGGCUCCAAUACUCAUAAUAGUAUAGUAGCCAUGGCCAUAUAUAUAUAUAGAGAGAAGGAUAGCUGUGUUCUCAGGAGCACGAAGGUCUCUGUGCUCUUGAGUUGUUUUCGAUGAUGGAAUUUUCGAAUCGACGAUCGGCUCCGUCAGACUUAAUCUAGCGUAUUUGAAAUUUCUAGAAAAUAAUUUUUGCGAUUUUUCGAUAUCAUUUACCUAUCAAUCAAAAGGAUUCAAAAUUAAUAAUUUUUAACGGUUGAAAAUAAAAAUUCUAUAAAAAGUGGUGAUAUAGCACUAAAAUUUUCGAUCAGAAAUAUUGAUCUUGUUGUAGAUAGUAUAAAGAAUUUUGUAUUAAAAUUUCAUCUGAUUUGAAUACUUCUAUACCGUUAAACUUGAAAACGGUAGAUAUCAACCUUUAAAAAUAUUGAUUUUGAACGCUUUCGAUCACUAGGUAAAUAAUAUAAAAAAUUCGCAAAAAUUAUUUUCUAGAAAUUUCAAAUACGCUAGAUCAAAUCUAACGGAGCCGAUCGUCGAUUUGAAAAUUUAUCAUUGAAAACGACUCAGGAGCACGGAGAGAUCAUAGCAGUUCUGCUCUCUCUCUCUCUCUCUCUCUCUC